GCACCGUCAUUUUCGAUUUGCAAACCACUGCAAAUCUGGCUCACUAAAGCUUGAAAACAUCCAUCAAUGGUCGACUCCUAUAAAGUUCAUACUAUAAUUACCAAUGGACCACUGAAUUUCAGUGUCAUACUACUGUAGUAUUUAUUUGUCGGCAAGUAAAAGUUCAGCUGAGCAACAAGAUUCUUUUUAUUCCCUUUUCUUUUUUUAUUUUUUUUGUGAAGAUUUGAUUCGUACGUUCAAUGGUCGGUUAGGGUUUUCAUUUUUCAGAUUAAACAAUAGGAGGAUUCAACUUCACGCUUCUAAAGUUACAGUUUCUUUGUUUUCUUUUCGCCACGAAAUUACAUUCAAUCUUGUGAUUUAAACAACACCCUCACACCUCUCUCUCUCUCUAUAUAUAGAUAGACACACACACAUAUAUAUAAAUAAAUUGCUAUUCUGAAACAAUGUCAGUUCAUAAUGAAGUUGAUAUUAGUGUGAAUCUUCUGAUUCAAUCAAAUCUCUCUCUCACUUACUCAAACCUCUCUUAAUUACUAGUUCUAUUUAGAGCUUGAUAUUGUACGUUCUUUCUCUUUGGCGUAUUUGAUCGGUCAUUGUGGUUGCGUUCGUAACACGAAUCUUCUCUCUCAUAAAAAAAGGUUAUUAUUAUUCCUGAUGAAGCUUCGAGUCGCUAAAUAACUGUGAUUCACAUGCAAAUGUCGGAAGUUACAGGAUCGAAGUCAUGGAGGGACGAGCUCGUGAGUCUCGUAGAGGAUUCCGGGAUAAGAUACACCAGCGAGGCAAUCGGAAUUUCAACUACGCCCGCUUUUGAAAUGAAAAGAUCGGGAUUCGUCGCCGGAGACUCGCCGGAAGGCGAGUUGGCUGAAUCGGAGAGCUUGAAGGAUCAGGUUAAAGAAUUCGCGAAAGCUUGGGGCGAAUUGAUUCUUGAAUUGGGAAAGGGUUGUAGGGAUGUAGUGCAACAGAACUUUGUGACCGAGGAUUCUUAUGUUGUGCAAAAGAUGAGGGAACCAAUGGCUAAGGUUUCAAGUAAAUUGCGAUUUUUGAACGACUAUUUGCCGGAAGAUCGCGACCCUGUUCACGCAUGGCCGGUCAUAUUUUUCGUCUUCCUCCUUGCGUUUGCAGCACUGAAUGUAAAUAAUAAACAUGAUAGCUCAGUUCCACUGGUUAAGAAAGUAUACAUACAUCCUCCUAGUGCUAUGCGUAUACCACUUCCAGAUGGUAGAUACAUGGCAUACCGUGAGCUUGGUGUUCCCGGCAACAGAGCUAGAUUUUCUCUGAUUGUUCCACAUAGCUUUUUGUCCUCCCGGCUAGCAGGUAUACCAAGAGUUAAAAUGUCGCUGCUGGAAGAGUUUGGGGUUCGCAUGAUUACUUAUGAUCUUCCUGGUUUUGGGGAGAGUGAUCCUCAUCCCAAAAGGAACCUUAACUCGUCAGCUCUGGAUAUCUUAUACUUGGCAAAUGCUAUAGGAAUACAUGACAAGUUUUGGGUGUUGGGGUACUCAAGCGGAGCCAUGCAUGCUUGGGCUGCACUCAAAUACAUUCCCAAUCGAAUUGCAGGUGCAGCCAUGUUUGCUCCAAUGGUUAAUCCAUAUGAAUCUACCAUGACUAAGGAAGAGAUGUCUAGAACUUGGGAAAAGUGGGUUCGGAGGAGGAAGCUAAUGUUCUAUUUAGCUCGAAGGUUUCCCAAAUUUCUCGCUUAUUUUUAUCGCCGAUGUUUCUUAUCUGGAAAGCAUGGUCAGAUAGAUAAGUGGUUAUCUGUGUCACUGGCAGAGAGGGAUAGAGCUCUGAUUGAAGAACCAAGGUUUGAAGAAUUCUGGCACAGGGAUGUUGAGGAGUCAAUCCGCCAAGGAAAUUCGGAACCGUUCAUACAGGAAGCCGUGCUACAGGUCUCAAAUUGGGGUUUUAGCCUGGCAGAUCUUCGAGUGCAGAAGAAGUGCCCAGGGAAAGGCAUUCUCCCAUGGCUCAAGUCCAUGUAUAGUCAGGCAGAGUGUGAAUUGACUGGAUUUCAGGGCCCAAUUCAUAUAUGGCAGGGAAUGGAUGAUGAGGUGGUCCCACCAUCGAUGACUGACUAUGUGGCUCGGAUUCUACCAAAGGCCAUUGUGCAUAAGCUCCCUGGUGAGGGCCACUUCUCCUAUUUCUUUCUCUGCGAUGAAUGCCACGGGCAUAUGUUCUCCACCCUUUUUGGAAGCCCACAAGGUCCAGUUGAGAGCACCGACCAAACUCGGAGAUCCCAAGGUGAUAUGGAAGAGUCCUCUCUUGAUACUGUUUCUUCCGCAAAAUCAGCCCAUUAAUUAUAAUUUGCACUUUUCCUGAAUCAUGAUGUAAAUAACAAAUACAACUGGUUUGCUCCUUUUCUCAAUGGAGCAUGAAAGCUGUGUCGAACGGCGAAGACCACUGAUAGAGCAGCUGCUGCUUCUUCGGGUUAAAACUUAUAUUCUUUUAUGUUUAAUGUGUGAUAUUUCGAUCUUUUGAAUACCAAUUGAAAGCUUUCAAAUACAUUAUUAAAUUUUAUAUUAAUAUUGACCUUUUUAAAAAAAAUUGGUUAGGACAAUCAUGGAUAAUGGGUCAUCUGGAGACACUUCUGACUUCUGAGGAUAUAAAUCAAAGUUUAAUCUCUUUUCAUUA